rnacentral:rRNA from 1 species
UACGAAGGGUGCAAACGUUGCUCGGAAUCAUUGGGCGUAAAGCGCACGUAGGCGGCUUCGCAAGUCGGAUGUGAAAGCCCUCGGCUCAACUGAGGAAGUGCACCCGAAACUGGCGAGCUUGAGUACGAAAGAGGAUCGCGGAAUUCCCGGUGUAGAGGUGAAAUUCGUAGAUAUCGGGAGGAACACCGGUGGCGAAGGCGGCGAUCUGGGUCGAUACUGACGCUGAGGAGCGAAAGCGUGGGGGAGCGAACAGG